rnacentral:rRNA from 1 species
AUGGAUGGCAAAAAGAAGAGGAACAGGAAGAAGAAGGGAAACCAAGGGAAGAAUACUGGUGAUGCGGUGACCAAUGCCGAUGAAGCUGUUCCUCAGAGCCACAAUGAUGAUUUGGCUCCAAAAGAAAAUUAUAGUGGUGCCGAUGCAGAUGAUGCAGUGUCCAGUGUUGGAGAUGCAGUAGGGAACCAGAAUCACGAGCAGAUUCCACAUGCAAAGCACAAUAUUGCAAACGCUGAUGAAACCAUAUCGUCGUCUGUUGGUGAGGUGAUUCCAUGCGAUGAGAAUCACGAACCUACCAUGACACACGAGAGUCACAAGGUCAGUAAUACAGCCUACGCAGAUCAGAGGAGCAUUGGGAUUUCAGAUUCUACCGUGGAACUUGGCAAGGACCGACUUUUUGAAUCAAAGCUUGAGAAAUUACACGAUACAAUAAAGCAAUUGGAAGAUGAGAAAGGUUUAUGGCUUCAAAAAGUGAACAAGAUGGAGAGCGAACUUGAAAAGUUGCAUAACAAAGUGGGUUAUCAUGCACAAAAUGAGGUCAUUUUGGAGGAAAAACUUAAUAAUCUACAGAAUGGGUACGAUAUGCUGGUUAAAAAGGAGGAGGUUUUGGAUAACAAAGUCAAGUGCGUUGAGGAUGUCAAUGGUGUCCUAACUCAUCAGGAGACUUCUCUUAAAGAAAGAUUAAGUUUGCUGGAGGAAACCAACAAAGCAUUACAGGAGCAGGUGAAGGUAUUGGAUGAAACUUCAAAAAGUACUGUUGAGGAAAAUCAGCGGUUGGUGGUAAGUGUGGAUGAAUUGGAGUCAAGAUUAUAA